rnacentral:rRNA from 1 species
GGUACCAUUAGAAUAAGCACCGGCUAACUCCGUGCCAGCAGCCGCGGUAAUACGGAGGGUGCAAGCGUUAUCCGGAAUCACUGGGUUUAAAGGGUGUCGUAGGCGGCUUAAUAAGUCAGUGGUGAAAUGCCCGCGGCUUAACCAUGGGAUUGCCAUUGAUACUGUAUAGCUUGAAUGAGUAUGAGUUGGCGGAAUGUGGCAUGUAGCGGUGAAAUGCUUAGAUAUGCCAUGGAACAUCAAUUGCGAAGGCAGCUUGCUGGGCUUCAUUGACGCUGAGGCACGAAAGCGUGGGGUAGCAGAACAGGAUUAGAUACCCUGGUAGUCCACGCCCUAAACGAUG